rnacentral:rRNA from 1 species
GACGAACGCUGGCGGCGUGCUUAACACAUGCAAGUCGAACGGAAAGGCCCUGCUUUUGUGGGGUGCUCGAGUGGCGAACGGGUGAGUAACACGUGAGUAACCUGCCCCUGACUUUGGGAUAACUUCAGGAAACUGGGGCUAAUACCGGAUAGGAGCUCCUGCUGCAUGGUGGGGGUUGGAAAGUUUCGGCGGUUGGGGAUGGACUCGCGGCUUAUCAGCUUGUUGGUGGGGUAGUGGCUUACCAAGGCUUUGACGGGUAGCCGGCCUGAGAGGGUGACCGGCCACAUUGGGCCUGCGAUACGGCCCAGACUCCUACGGGACGCAGCAGUGGGGAAUAUUGCACAGUGGGCGGAAGCCUGAUGCAGCGACGCCGCGUGCGGGAUGACGGCCUUCGGGUUGUAAACCGCUUUCGCCUGUGACGAAGCGUGAGUGACGGUAAUGGGUAAAGAAGCACCGGCUAACUACGUG